rnacentral:rRNA from 1 species
CGUGUCGUGAGAUGUUGGGUUAAGUCCCGCAACGAGCGCAACCCUUAUUACUAGUUGCCAGCAUUUAGUUGGGCACUCUAGUGAGACUGCCGGUGACAAACCGGAGGAAGGUGGGGAUGACGUCAAAUCAUCAUGCCCCUUAUGACCUGGGCUACACACGUGCUACAAUGGCGUAUACAACGAGUUGCCAACCCGCGAGGGUGAGCUAAUCUCUUAAAGUACGUCUCAGUUCGGAUUGUAGGCUGCAACUCGCCUACAUGAAGUCGGAAUCGCUAGUAAUCGCGGAUCAGCACGCCGCGGUGAAUACGUUCCCGGGUCUUGUACACACCGCCCGUCACACCAUGAGAGUUUGUAACACCCAAAGCCGGUGGGGUAACCUUCGGGAGCCAGCCGUCUAAGGUGGGACAGAUGAUUAGGGU